AAAAAAUUAGUUAACUCAUAACUUAAGCUUGUCAAGCUUAGAUUAUUACAUAAAAGUAAUAUUUUUUA
rnacentral:tRNA from 1 species